GGGCCCGCACAAGCGGUGGAGCAUGUGGUUUAAUUCGAUGAUACGCGAGGAACCUUACCAGGGCUUAAAUGUAAGUUGCAUUAGUUAGAGAUAGCUAUUUCUUCGGACUACUUACAAGGUGCUGCAUGGUUGUCGUCAGCUCGUGCCGUGAGGUGUCAGGUUAAGUCCUAUAACGAGCGCAACCCCUGUUGUUAGUUGCCAUCGAGUCAUGUCGGGAACUCUAACAAGACUGCCGGUGCAAACCGUGAGGAAGGUGGGGAUGACGUCAAAUCAUCACGGCCCUUACGUCCUGGGCUACACACGUGCUACAAUGGCCGGUACAGAGAGCAGCCACUACGCGAGUAGGCGCGAAUCCGACAAACCUAGUCGUAGUCCGGAUCGGAGUCUGCAACUCGACUCCGUGAAGUCGGAAUU
rnacentral:rRNA from 1 species